AGCUAAUAGAUACCCUGGUAGUCCUGGCAGUAAACGGUGCGCGUUUGGUGUGGGAGGAUUCGACCCCUUCUGUGCCGGAGCUAAACGUGUUAAACGCGCCGCCUGGGGAGUACGGUCGCAAGAUUAAAACUCAAAGAAAUUGACGGGGGCCCGGCACAAGCGGUGGAGUAUGUGGCUUAAUUCGAUGCAACGCGAAGAACCUUACCUAGCCUUGACAUGCAUCUCUAAGUCGGUGAAAGCCGGCGAGUGUAGCAAUACACAAUUUGCACAGGUGCUGCAUGGCUGUCGUCAGCUCGUGUCGCGAGAUGUUGGGUUAAGUCCCGCAACGAGCGCAACCCCUGUGAACUGUUGCCACCACACUACGGUGUGAGCACUCUGUUCAGACUGCCCUGUGAAACGGGGAGGAAGGUGGGGAUGACGUCAAGUCAGCAUGGCCCUUACGGCUAGGGCUGCACACGUACUACAAUGCUCAGUACAGAAUGAACCGAAACC
rnacentral:rRNA from 1 species